rnacentral:rRNA from 1 species
AGAGUUUGAUCCUGGCUCAGAACGUACGCUGGCGGCACGCCUAACACAUGCAAGUCGAACGAAGUAGCAAUACUUAGUGGCAGACGGGUGAGUAACAUGUAGGUAUCUGCCCUUUGGCCUGGAAUAACACGAGGAAACUUGUGCUAAUACCGGAUAAGUCUUUACGGAGAAAGCUUUAUGCACCAUUGGAUGAGCCUGCACUUGAUUAGUUUGUUGGUGGGGUAAUGGCCUACCAAGACUGUGAUCAAUAGCUGAUUUGAGAGGAUGAUCAGCCACAUUGGGACUGAGACACGGCCCAAACUCCUACGGGAGGCAGCAGUGGGGAAUCUUGCACAAUGGAGGAAACUCUGAUGCAGCGAUGCCGCGUGAGUGAAGAAGGCCCUUGGGUUGUAAAGCUCUUUCGUCGGGGAAGAAAAUGACUGUACCCGAAUAAGAAGGUCCGGCUAACUUCGUGCCAGCAGCCGCGGUAAUACGAAGGGACCUAGCGUAGUUCGGAAUUACUGGGCUUAAAGAGUUCGUAGGUGGUUGAAAAAGUUAGUGGUGAAAUCCCAGAGCUUAACUCUGGAACUGCCAUUAAAACUUUUCAGCUAGAGUAUGAUAGAGGAAAGCAGAAUUUCUAGUGUAGAGGUGAAAUUCGUAGAUAUUAGAAAGAAUACCAAUUGCGAAGGCAGCUUUCUGGAUCAUUACUGACACUGAGGAACGAAAGCAUGGGUAGCGAAGAGGAUUAGAUACCCUCGUAGUCCAUGCCGUAAACGAUGUGUGUUAGACGUUGGAAAUUUAUUUUCAGUGUCGCAGGGAAACCGAUAAACACACCGCCUGGGGAGUACGACCGCAAGGUUAAAACUCAAAUGAAUUGACGGGGACCCGCACAAGUAGUGGAGCAUGUGGUUUAAUUCGAAGAUACGCGCAGAACCUUACCAACACUUGACAUGUUCGUCGCGACUCUAAGAGAUUAGAGUUUUCGGUUCGGCCGGACGAAACACAGGUGCUGCAUGGCUGUCGUCAGCUCGUGUCGUGAGAUGUUGGGUUAAGUCCCGCAACGAGCGCAACCCUCACUUUUAGUUGCCAUCAUUAAGUUGGGCACUCUGAAAGAACUGCCAGUGAUAAGCUGGAGGAAGGUGGGGAUGACGUCAAGUCCUCAUGGCCCUUACGUGUUGGGCUACACACGUGCUACAAUGGUAUCUACAACAGGAAGCAAAACUGCGAAGUUAAGCAAAUCCCUAAAAGAUACCUCAGUUCGGAUUGCACUCUGCAACUCGAGUGCAUGAAGCUGGAAUUACUAGUAAUCGUGGAUCAGCGUGCCACGGUGAAUGCGUUCCCGGGUCUUGUACACACCGCCCGUCACACCAUGGGAGUUGGUUCUACCUUAAGGCAAGGUUUAAAACCCUUGACCACGGUAUAGUCAGCGACUGGGGUGAAGUCGUAACAAGGUAGCCGUAGGGGAACCUGCGGCUGGAUCACCUCCUU